GGCACAGUGGGGCAGUGGUUAGCGCUGUCUCCUCACAACAAGAAGGUUGUGGGUUUGAACCCAGCCUGGGGCC